rnacentral:rRNA from 1 species
GAUGAACGCUGGCGCCGUGCCUUAGGCAUGCAAGUCGAACGGGAAGUCUUCGGACUUCUAGUGGCGGAAGGGUGAGUAACGCGUGGGAACGUACCUAUUGGUGGAGAAUAGCUCGCCGAAAGGCGGGAUAAUUCUGCAUAAGACCGCAAGGUGGAAGGGCUUAACCGCCCGCCGAUAGAGCGGCCUGCGUCCUAUCAGCUAGUUGGUGGGGUAAAGGCCUACCAAGGCGACGAUCUGUAGCGGGUCUGAGAGGAUGAUCCGCCACACUGGGACUGAGACACGGGCCAGAGUCCUACGGGAGGCAGCAGGGGGGAAUAUUGGACAAUGGGCGGAAGCCUGAUCCAGCCAUGCCGCGUGUGUGAAGAAGGCCUUUUGGUUGUAAAGCACUUUAAGCGAGGAGGAGGCUCUUAAGGUUAAUACCCUUGAUGAGUGGACGUUACUCGCAGAAUAAGCACCGGCUAACUCUGUGCCAGCAGCCGCGGUAA